AGCUUUGGGACUGGAAGAUGAGAUUUUU
rnacentral:piRNA from 1 species